rnacentral:lncRNA from 1 species
AUGGUCUCAGUUAUAGAUUUAACCCUUAAAGAGUUCUGGAAGGAAUAUUACAAUAUCCUUUUCUGUGUGGUGUUAAUAGAGAAAUCCCAGACCAUUGUCUCCCUAAGGACACUGAGAUCUGCUUGUACACAGGAGAGAGACUUUGAAGUCUAUGUAGAGGAGCCGGAGCCUUCAAUUGACCAACUUGAGUUACAACCAGCCCUCACAAACAAAUUGAAUUUGAACAAGAAGAUCCACCUGACUCAACCAGACAUAGCUCCCUUUCCUAAUUUACUGUUCCAUUCCUAA